rnacentral:rRNA from 1 species
GACGAAGGGGGCUAGCGUUGUUCGGAAUUACUGGGCGUAAAGCGAGUGUAGGCGGUUGCCCAAGUCAGGUGUGAAAGCCUUGAGCUCAACUCAAGAAAUGCACUUGGUACUGGGUGGCUAGAGGACCGGAGAGGAUAGUGGAAUUCCCAGUGUAGUGGUGAAAUACGUAGAGAUUGGGAAGAACACCAGUGGCGAAGGCGGCUAUCUGGACGGUUACUGACGCUAAGGUGCGAAAGCGUGGGGAGCAAACAGG